rnacentral:rRNA from 1 species
AACGAACGCUGGCGGCAUGCCUAACACAUGCAAGUCGAACGAGACCUUCGGGUCUAGUGGCGCACGGGUGCGUAACGCGUGGGAACCUGCCCUUAGGUUCGGAAUAACUCCCCGAAAGGGGUGCUAAUAUCGGAUAAUGUCCUCGGACCAAAGAUUUGUCGCCUUUGGAUGGGCCCGCGUUGGAUUAGCUAGUUGGUAGGGUAAAAGCCUACCAAGGCGACGAUCCAUAGCUGGUCUGAGAGGAUGAUCAGCCACACUGGGACUGAGACACGGCCCAGACUCCUACGGGAGGCAGCAGUGGGGAAUAUUGGACAAUGGGCGACAGCCUGAUCCAGCAAUGCCGCGUGAGUGAUGAAGGCCUUAGGGUUGUAAAUCUCUUUUACCCGGGAUGAUAAUGACAGUACCGGGAGAAUAAGCGCCGGCUAACUCCGUG